rnacentral:tRNA from 1 species
GAGGGCAUAGCUCAGUGGCAGAGUGUGUGCUUAGCAUGCACGAGGUCCUGGGUUCAAUCCCCAGUACCUCUG